rnacentral:rRNA from 1 species
ACACAUGCAAGUCGAACGAGAAUCUACUGAAGGAGGAUUCGUCCAACGGAUGUAGAGGAAAGUGGCGGACGGGUGAGUAACGCGUGAGGAACCUGCCUUGAAGAGGGGGACAACAGUUGGAAACGACUGCUAAUACCGCAUGAAGCAUAGGGGUCGCAUGAUCUUUAUGCCAAAGAUUUAUCGCUUCAAGAUGGCCUCGCGUCUGAUUAGCUAGUUGGCGGGGUAACGGCCCACCAAGGCGACGAUCAGUAGCCGGACUGAGAGGUUGAACGGCCACAUUGGGACUGAGAUACGGCCCAGACUCCUACGGGAGGCAGCAGUGGGGAAUAUUGGGCAAUGGGCGCAAGCCUGACCCAGCAACGCCGCGUGAAGGAAGAAGGCUUUCGGGUUGUAAACUUCUUUUAAGAGGGAAGAGCAGAAGACGGUACCUCUAGAAUAAGCCACGGCUAACUACGUGCCAGCAGCCGCGGUAAUACGUAGGUGGCAAGCGUUGUCCGGAUUUACUGGGUGUAAAGGGCGUGCAGCCGGGUCUGCAAGUCAGAUGUGAAAUCCAUGGGCUCAACCCAUGAACUGCAUUUGAAACUGUAGAUCUUGAGUGUCGGAGGGGCAAUCGGAAUUCCUAGUGUAGCGGUGAAAUGCGUAGAUAUUAGGAGAAACACCAGUGGCGAAGGCGGAUUGCUGGACGAUAACUGACGGUGAGGCGCGAAAGUGUGGGGAGCAAACAGGAUUAGAUACCCUGGUAGUCCACACUGUAAACGAUGAAUACUAGG